AACGAACGCUGGCGGCGUGGAUAAGACAUGCAAGUCGAACGGGAUUACUUCUGUAGCAAUACAGGAGUAAUUUAGUGGCGAACGGGUGCGUAACACGUGGGCAAUCUGCCGAGAAGUGGGGAUAGCUCGCCGAAAGGCGAAUUAAUACCGCAUGUGGUCAGGGAAGACAUCUUUCCGACACCAAAGCCGGGGCAACCUGGCGCUUUUUGAUGAGCCCGCGGCCUAUCAGCUAGUUGGUGAGGUAACGGCUCACCAAGGCUAUGACGGGUAGCUGGUCUGAGAGGACGACCAGUCACACUGGAACUGAGACACGGUCCAGACACCUACGGGUGCAGCAGUCGAGAAUUUUUCUCAAU
rnacentral:rRNA from 1 species